rnacentral:tRNA from 1 species
CAGAGAAUAGUUUAAUAAAAAUAUUAGUUUUGGGGAUUAAUGAUAAAGAAGCAAAUCUUUUUCUCUGA